CAUAUCCUUCUCUAUAUGCCGUUAAUUUUUUUUUUCUUUUGCAUUUAUAGUUUUUUUGUUUUUUGUUUUUUGUGCUUUCCCAUUUGCAACUUUUCUUCAAGUGUGAAAAAGAAUAUGAAAAAUUUCAACUGAAAUGCGAGACCGGGCAGCUAAGGUAUGUCAAAUUUACAGUUUUUUUGUUUUUGUUUUAAGUUUACAUUUUCAUCGGUUUAGGGGGGUGUUGUUAAAAUUUGGGAGCUAUUUUUGGGUUGUGUAUUUUCAUCUAAAUGCUCUUCACAUAUAAGCCUGAUAAAAUGGAUGGUGCUCACUGCAUUGCAAUUUCUUUGACAAGCUUUAAGAAAGAGAAUUGUGUCAUUUUCUAGAGUUUUCAAAAAAAAAAAAAAAGGUAUAAACAAGUGGGACUGCUCAUAUGGAAAACUAUUGUUACAAUUUUUGUGUGGUUUUGUGAAUUUAUAAGGCUUUGUGAGGUGUUUGGCGGAGAAACUUUUGGGAUAGGCUACAGAAAAAAUGGCUGCAGCUUCAUUAUAAGUCUGAUUAGGCCUUUUUGGAGGUGUUCGAGGUUUUUGAGUCGAGAUGGCAAUAGGGGAAUUGCUUGAUUUAGUUAAAGUUGAAGAUGAUGAAUUUGAAAUCCAAGAAGAGGAUGGGGAUUUAAUAAUCUCAAGGUCUAAUCUAAUUGCUCUUCCACCUCCAUUUAAACAAGAAGACAUUUGUAGAAUAUCUUAAAAAAAAACCUCCAAGAAUGUCUGAAAUUUGAACUAAAACAAGAAAUGAACCAUUUGCAAAAAUGACGUAAAAACUGUAGAAUCCAAUGAAAGGGCCUAAAGGAACAACCUUAAAAUCAUCGAAUCAUGAAAGAAAGUAGAGAGAGAUUGGGUGGACGGAGGGGAUGAUUGAAAGGGAGUGGUGGGUUUAGGUGAUGAAGAAGAGAACAGAGGAAGAGACAAUUCUGGGCUUCAACAGUGGGCCAUAUUCUUGGCUUUCAACAGUUCAAUUAUGCUUACCAUCUUAAUGUAAUUUAUUAAGAGAUCCCUACAUUUUUUUUUCUUCUUAAUUCUUAUCAUUU
rnacentral:lncRNA from 1 species